rnacentral:rRNA from 1 species
GAACGCUGGCGGCGUGCUUAACACAUGCAAGUCGAACGAAGCACUUCUGAUUGAUUCUUCGGGUGGAUUUAACCUGUGACUGAGUGGCGGACGGGUGAGUAACGCGUGGGUAACCUGCCUUAUACAGGGGGAUAACAGUUAGAAAUGACUGCUAAUACCGCAUAAGCGCACAGUACCGCAUGGUACAGUGUGAAAAACUCAGGUGGUAUAAGAUGGACCCGCGUCUGAUUAGCUAGUUGGUGGGGUAACAGCCUACCAAGGCGACGAUCAGUAGCCGACUUGAGAGAGUGAUCGGCCACAUUGGGACUGAGACACGGCCCAAACUCCUACGGGAGGCAGCAGUGGGGAAUAUUGCACAAUGGGGGAAACCCUGAUGCAGCAACGCCGCGUGAACGAUGAAGUAUUUCGGUAUGUAAAGUUCUAUCAGCAAGGAAGAUAAUGACGGUACUUGACUAAGAAGCCCCGGCUAACUACGUG